rnacentral:rRNA from 1 species
UACGGGGGGGGCAAGCGUUGUUCGGAAUUACUGGGCGUAAAGGGCUCGUAGGCGGCCAACUAAGUCAGACGUGAAAUCCCUCGGCUUAACCGGGGAACUGCGUCUGAUACUGGAUGGCUAGAGGUUGGGAGAGGGAUGCGGAAUUCCAGGUGUAGCGAUGAAAUGCGUAGAUAUCUGGAGGAACACCGGUGGCGAAGGCGGCAUCCUGGACCAAUUCUGACGCUGAGGCGCGAAAGCCAGGGGAGCAAACGGG